UACGGAGGGUGCAAGCGUUAAUCGGAAUUACUGGGCGUAAAGCGCACGUAGGUGGUUUGCUAAGUCAGCUGUGAAAUCCCCGGGCUUAACCUGGGCACUGCAGUUGAAACUGGCAAGCUAGAGUAGGGUAGAGGGGUGUGGAAUCCAGGUGUAGCGGUGAAAUGCGUAGAUAUCUGGAGGAACAUCAGUGGCGAAGGCGACACCCUGGACUCAUACUGACACUGAGGUGCGAAAGCGUGGGGAGCAAACAGG
rnacentral:rRNA from 1 species